rnacentral:rRNA from 1 species
ACGAUGAAACCGCGAAUGGCUCAUUAAAUCAGCUAUGGUUCCUUGGAUCGUGUCUUUUACAUGGAUAACUGUGGGAAUUCUAGAGCUAAUACAUGCACCAAAGCCGUGACCGCAAGGAACGGCGCAUUUAUUAGAUCAAAACCAACCGGACUUCGGUCUGAGUUGUUUGAUGACUCUGGAUAAACUUGAGCAGAUCGCAUGGCCAUGCGCCGGCGACGUAUCCUUCAAAUGUCUGCCCUAUCAACUUACGUUGGUAGGUUACCUGCCUACCAUGGUGAUCACGGGUAACGGGGAAUCAGGGUUCGAUUCCGGAGAGGGAGCAUGAGAAACGGCUACCAGAACUACGGUUUGCAGCAGGCGCGCAAAUUACCCACUCCCGGUACGGGGAGGUAGUGACGAAAAAUAACAAUACGGGUCUUUUUAUAGGCCCCGUAAUUGGAAUGAGUACACCUUAAAACCAUUAACGAGUACCAAUUGGAGGGCAAGUCUGGUGCCAGCAGCCGCGGUAAUUCCAGCUCCAAUAGCGUAUA